UCUAAUAUUCCAGUGCACGGGGCGGAUAACCGUGGAGCUCGAGCAGUGCAGUGUAAGUCGGUUUUGCGUAUGCACUGCGGUAGAAACAUCAGCUGCUGCAAAGCCGGACGUGUACAUGGAUGUAUAAAACGUAUACAUAAUAUUAUAUUGUGUAUUAUAUCGGGUGUAUAUUAUUUUGUACUGUUCGCGGUGGCACUCUCGGGUCCUCUUCUCUCGGGGGAUGAUUCCAUGUACCCGUGCGCGUAUACCUGCAAACCUAUUGUGCGGCGUGUGUGAUCUGUGCAAAAACCGCAACGGCGGUCGGUAAAAAUGACCCGAAAAAAAAUUAGUUACAACAAUAAUUCGUUUCGGAAUUCGUGCGAGGAAAAUCGACGGCCGACGCGUAUAUAAUAUUAUACACAUCACGGGGGUACGUGGAGUCAAUUAAAAAACUAUUUUAUACUCGCGGACAAUGCGAGUGCAAAGUGUUUGAGGCUGCGCCGCUGUUAUCGAUGUCAUUAAUAAGAAUAAUAUAAUAACACGCUAUCGCGGUUGGAUACGUAUUCAUACAGCGCUCCACCCCAAAUCGAACAAUUUUUAUUUUAUUAUUUUUUUUUUAUAAUAUUUUUUUAGAGAGAUCAGACUGAAGUCGGACAAUCAUAAUAAUGCAAACAUCGAAAAACUCCUCUUAAACUGAAGUCUGAAGUAAUUAUUAUAAUACACGCAAAAUCACUAUCUUGUUUAAACUUUCACGGUACAUCUGCUUAACAUAAAAGUCAAUAAGUCACACUGACAUAUACAAUGAGCAUUUAAGGAUUAGGAUUAACCAUAACGUGACCAUUUUAUCAAGGAUUUAUUUGGAUUUUUCUAAUCUUUAUUUACACACUACGCUUUUUGCGCAACUGGCAUCAGAUAUAAAUUAUUUACUCGAGAAACUGGCAGUGACGAAGUUCACAAAUAAGACUCGUUUAGCAAGAAUACCGUUAUACAUUACGUACAACACAUCAAAAACACGAAGAUGGUUUGAUCGAAAAUCUCUGAGAAUUGGACAGCACGAAGGUACGUAGUGAAAACGAUUGGUACCAAUAUUGUUUUUCACUGACCAACGAAAAUGUGUGGUGUGGUUAUUUGUUCGAGAAUAAAGCCGGGUUCUUAGUUACGUUAUCUGUUUCGUAAUAUAAUUUUUUAUCGUAUUCUGAUUAGCUAAUGUAAUCACGGUAUAGGUCUACCGGGAGAUUUUAGUUAGGCUGAGAUCAAAUUUUGGAUAUCAGUCGAAUAAGUUGGCGUGGAGCGUGUGUACAUCAACUUUAUAAGUGAAAAAACAUGCAUUCUUAUUAUUAAUUUUAUCCACUUGAACUCUGUUGAAUAUACUAUAGUACUAUAUUCAUAUUUCCCAUAGUUUUAUUAAUAUUAUAAAACUAGUUGAGAGUGCAGAAUGCUAUAUAAAACGCUAAAGAAUAUAUUAUUUUUUUUCUAACGUGCGUUAUAUAUCGAUAUACUUAUGUACCUAUAUGAUAUAAUAGCUAACUAACAAAUCUGUAGACAUUUAUUUGUAUUCACAUUCUAUAAUGAUAUUUUUUCUACCACUCUUUCUGAAUGUCAAAUGUUGAGAUGCUAUCAAUCGUACAUAAUUAAUGCGUGUCAGUAUAAUGCGAAUUAAAGACAUGUAUAUAUAUUUAAGAGCCAAGUAACUU